CCCUUAGAUGUUCUGGGCUGCACGCGCGCUACACUGACGCACGCAACAGGUGCCUGCUCCGAGAGGACUGGGUAAUCAUUUGAGUGUGCGUCGUGAUGGGGAUAGAAUAUUGUAAUUAUUACUCUUCAACGAGGAAUUCCUAGUAAGCGCCAGUCAGCAGCUUGCGCUGAUUACGUCCCUGCCCUUUGUACACACCGCCCGUCGCUCCUACCGAUGGGUGAUCCGGUGAAUGAUUCGGACUUCAGCGGCUCCCCUGGGGUGCGCCGGAGAAAGUUUUGUGAACCUGAUCACUUGGAGGAAGGAGAAGUCGUAACA
rnacentral:rRNA from 1 species